rnacentral:rRNA from 1 species
UACGGAGGGUGCAAACGUUGCUCGGAAUUACUGGGCGUAAAGCGCACGUAGGCGGCUUUCUAAGUCGGGGGUGAAAUCCUGGAGCUCAACUCCAGAACUGCCUUCGAUACUGGAGAGCUCGAGUCCGGGAGAGGUGAGUGGAACUGCGAGUGUAGAGGUGAAAUUCGUAGAUAUUCGCAAGAACACCAGUGGCGAAGGCGGCUCACUGGCCCGGUACUGACGCUGAGGUGCGAAAGCGUGGGGAGCAAACAGG